UACGAAGGGGGCUAGCGUUGCUCGGAAUCACUGGGCGUAAAGCGCACGUAGGCGGACUCUUAAGUCGGUGGUGAAAUCCUGGAGCUCAACUCCAGAACUGCCUUCGAUACUGGGAGUCUCGAGUCCGAGAGAGGUGAGUGGAACUGCGAGUGUAGAGGUGAAAUUCGUAGAUAUUCGCAAGAACACCAGUGGCGAAGGCGGCUCACUGGUUCGGUACUGACGCUGAGGUGCGAAAGCGUGGGGAGCAAACAGG
rnacentral:rRNA from 1 species